rnacentral:lncRNA from 1 species
CUUCAUCAUGGCUGUGUCUUCCGAUGUUGUCCGAAUUCCAACACGGUCUGGUUGUGGCCUUUUUGUCCUAGGGUUUUCUCAUCUGAUUUCUCAUUUCCAUUCUCGCAGAUUUGUUGUGCCCUUCAACCCGUUCCCCUUGCCGACUUCUCUGGCCAGCUUGAGCUUGGUUACAUCUUCUUCGUUUGUUUUAGUCUCGGCCUCGCGGUGCUUCUCUUACUGGUUCAUCUGAAUCGUAAUCGUAGUUCCUCUUCGUUUUUUUCCCGUAUGGUUUUUUUCCCAUCUUUUUUCGUUGCAAUUUGUUGUUGGCCAUGGUGUUUGUUUUAAUCCUUGUCCUGCUUUUGCUGCUAUUUCACUGUUAUAUCUCGCUCUUAUUCUUGCUGCUCAUUGUUCUUUGCUUAUAUAUGUCAGGAAAUUUUUUCCUCCCUGAAUGUUGUGCCUCUGAGCUUAUUUCCCCUUGGUAUCUUUUUCCCCUGUGGCUUUCGAUGCUGUUUACCAUGGGUUUUUUUUUCGUUUUCCCAUUAGCCUUUUUGUUCUGUUCAUUCCUUUACGUAAUAUGUAUGUGUUCUUUUGAAGUAAUGUUGUUGUUCAGAAAUUUUGAACGUGCAAGUGGUUUCCGUUUGAUUUAUUUUGUUAUUCUCGUUUGCCCUUUUUUCCUUGUGCGCUCCUUUUCGUUAUAUGCAUGUUUUCUGGUUCUUACAUUUUUUUCCCCCUUUUAUUGCCGCUGUUGGUUACUAAUAAAUUUCUUGCCUGGUGGAGAUAGGCUGAUAUGCGUAUUUGCCCACGAUGAUUUUUUUAUAAAUGGGUCAAUGUUUUCUGCCUUGACUGCUAUUUAUUUUUCUUGGUGCAUUUCCUUGUUGUUUCCCUCCAAGGCAUUUGCUGUGUUUUAGAUCUGCUCUUCUGCUUUGAGUUGAGAUAGUUUUGGGUCCUUUCUGGCCCUCUCUAGAUCUACUGUUUUGCUCUCCGGAAGGGUGCAAUCUUGCUCUUUUCCUCUGUAGGCUAGAGUUGUUAUGUUUCUUUAAAUGACUUUUUCUUGUGCUUCUACCGUGCUUGCGAACCUUAUUCUUGCCUUAUGCCUCAGUGGUUUUGAUAACUGAUCUAGAAAGAUCUGCUACUCUUUACCUGUUAUUGGACUAAUUUCAAAUAGACAUGAUGAGAAUUGUUUUGUAUGCUUUGCCGGCAAGGAAACCGUACUCAGAUGCUCGCUCUGUUAUUGCCAGAGAAUAUGUUGUUGUCGACCAAAGGUUGUAUUCAAUAUCAAUUUCUGAUGGCUAUUUCUUUCGUACCUAUAGUGAUUUGUUUUUAUAUAUGUUCUUUUGCAGUAAUAUGCCUGUUCAUUUGACAUUGUUUGGUGAGUUUGAGUCUGAAGAGGGAAGAGCUAUAGUAGGCUACACAGCUUGAAUAGUGGUUGUCAUUUCCUCCUGGUUGUAAUUUGAAAAAAGAUUUCUCUUUUUCCUUUUUAGCUAACGUCCACCGUGGCUUUUAAAAUCAAUUAUUAUUACUAAUUUCUCAUCUGUCUCCAUGCAGGUACCGACAUAAUUGUUCUGAUCCAAUUGCUUUUGUUCUGGAGAAGAGAUACUGCAAUCCCCUUCUGUUUCUUCCUCCUGUUGGUGACACCAUGCUGUCUACUGUUGUCGGUGUUCACACAACAACUCAAUUUAUUAGGCGCCUUGUCCUUUCUAUGUUGCUUUCUGUGAUUUCCCUUAUUUGCCUAAACUAGCUUCUUUUUGAAACUUCUGAAUAUGCUUAUACUGUUCUUUGAGGCUAUAGGUGCUGCAUGGAUUAAGGGAAGAGUAA